AGACCCGAAACCCGGUGAUCUAGCCAUGGGCAGGUUGAAGGUUGGGUAACACUAACUGGAGGACCGAACCGACUAAUGUUGAAAAAUUAGCGGAUGACCUGUGGCUGGGGGUGAAAGGCCAAUCAAACCGGGAGAUAGCUGGUUCUCCCCGAAAGCUAUUUAGGUAGCGCCUCGUGAAUUCAUCUCCGGGGGUAGAGCACUGUUUCGGCUAGGGGGCCAUCCCGGCUUACCAACCCGAUGCAAACUGCGAAUACCGGAGAAUGUUAUCACGGGAGACACACGGCGGGUGCUAACGUCCGUCGUGAAGAGGGAAACAACCCAGACCGCCAGCUAAGGUCCCAAAGUCAUAGUUAAGUGGGAAACGAUGUGGGAAGGCCCAGACAGCCAGGAUGUUGGCUUAGAAGCAGCCAUCAUUUAAAGAAAGCGUAAUAGCUCACUGGUCGAGUCGGCCUGCGCGGAAGAUGUAACGGGGCUAAACUAUGCACCGAAGCUGCGGCAGCGACACUAUGUGUUGUUGGGUAGGGGAGCGUUCUGUAAGCCUGUGAAGGUGUGUCGUGAGGCAUGCUGGAGGUAUCAGAAGUGCGAAUGCUGACAUAAGUAACGAUAAAGCGGGUGAAAAGCCCGCUCGCCGGAAGACCAAGGGUUCCUGUCCAACGUUAAUCGGGGCAGGGUGAGUCGACCCCUAAGGCGAGGCCGAAAGGCGUAGUCGAUGGGAAACGGGUUAAUAUUCCCGUACUUGGUGUUACUGCGAAGGGGGGACGGAGAAGGCUAUGUUGGCCGGGCGACGGUUGUCCCGGUUUAAGCGUGUAGGUGUGUGUUCCAGGUAAAUCCGGUUCACUUUAACACUGAGGCGUGACGACGAGGCACUACGGUGCUGAAGCAACAAAUGCCCUGCUUCCAGGAAAAGCCUCUAAGCAUCAGGUAACAUCAAAUCGUACCCCAAACCGACACAGGUGGUCAGGUAGAGAAUACCAAGGCGCUUGAGAGAACUCGGGUGAAGGAACUAGGCAAAAUGGUGCCGUAACUUCGGGAGAAGGCACGCUGACACGUAGGUGAAGUGAUUUACUCAUGGAGCUGAAGUCAGUCGAAGAUACCAGCUGGCUGCAACUGUUUAUUAAAAACACAGCACUGUGCAAACACGAAAGUGGACGUAUACGGUGUGACGCCUGCCCGGUGCCGGAAGGUUAAUUGAUGGGGUCAGCGCAAGCGAAGCUCCUGAUCGAAGCCCCGGUAAACGGCGGCCGUAACUAUAACGGUCCUAAGGUAGCGAAAUUCCUUGUCGGGUAAGUUCCGACCUGCACGAAUGGCGUAAUGAUGGCCAGGCUGUCUCCACCCGAGACUCAGUGAAAUUGAACUCGCUGUGAAGAUGCAGUGUACCCGCGGCAAGACGGAAAGACCCCGUGAACCUUUACUAUAGCUUGACACUGAACAUUGAGCCUUGAUGUGUAG
rnacentral:rRNA from 2 species